rnacentral:lncRNA from 1 species
UGUGAGACGCAUUCAGGCUGGAUAUUUGGAAAAAUUUCUUCUCAGAAAGAGAGGUGAGGCAUAAGCACAGCUGCCUGGGGAGGUGGUGGGUCACACUCCCUGGAAGUAUUCAAGAACUGUGAAGAUAUGGCACAGAGGGACAUGGUUAGUGGGGAUGGUUUGGGUUGGACUGGAUGAUCUCGGGGAUCUUUCCAUCCUUGAUGAUCCUAUUAUUCUAUUCUAAGCAACUUCUAAGAGCUGUUUUUAUGAUUGGUGGAGAGGAAUAAACCUCUAGAAGUUGGUUUUCCUCUUGCCAGGAUGGAUGUUUGCAGUAGGAGGGGCACGCUACCUCCUAGAGAUGAUAGUCUCUGCUAUGGACUACAGAAGAACCAUGAAGAGAGUCAUCUCUAAGCUGAGUGCCUACUUUAAGGAAGGAAGUCUACAAGCACAAAACCAGUGCUCAGCCAAAGGGCAGCAUCUCCUGAAUCCUCACCCCAAUAGUGCAUUGCUCUCUUCAUCACCAUCUCCUUUCCUGUGUCAGCUGAAAGGACCUGAAAAGUGUUCAAGAGCAUUUUUAAUUUGCAAUGUUUCCUGGAGAGGUGGUAGAUGUCCCAUCCCUGCAGACACCCAAGGUCAGCCUGGAUGGGCUCUGAGCACCCGAUGGAGCUGUGGGUGUCCCUGUUCACUGCAGUGUGGUUGGACCUGAUGGCCUUUAAGGGUUCCUUCCAACUCAGAUGAUUCCAUGAUUCUGUUUUCUCCAUCAAAAUCUCCAUGGUGUUUGCAUGCAUGAAUCGUGAGCCCUGGAAGCUUUCAUCUGGAAACCUGUAUGCUGGAUGUGAUGAAUUACAUCUCUCAUGCUGCUUGUUCUGCUGGUGGCUCUGCUCUUUCCAUGGGAUCAGCCUUACAAUAUGCUGAAAUUUUUUUUUUCUCCCCAUUUUUCCCAGUGUUGCUUUCAGCUUUUUGAUUCCCUUGCUGCUUCCAGGGGUUGUUGCUCACACCACAAAAGGCUCUGCUCUGCACAAGCCCUGAGCACUGCUUAUGGCUGAGCUAUCCCAUGGAGCGAGGGAAGGAUGCAGAAGGGCUGAUGUUUGUGCAUUUCCUACUGGUAUUUCUGAACCCUAGCUAGGGAAUCUCAUACUUCAUACGAGUGCUCCAGGCUGACAGGAGAUGGAUAGGAAGUGGAGGGAAGGAGAAAAUGUGUUGUAAAAGGCCUGUGAGGUUGGGGAGAAGCAGGAGAGUGACUAUGAUGAUGCCCAGGUGAGGAAGUAGGGCAGGUGUACUGGGGUGCAAGAACAAGGUUUGCAUUGCUGAUGCUGUGCCAUAAGCAAGGAACCUUACAGACCUUGGCAGCUGUGCUGUUCCUUCAAACUGUCUGGGAGCACAGAGGGUUUUCCUUCUCACUGUCACAGCAUAAAGGACUUCAUGGCAUAACACGACUGCCCCGAGUGGUGAAGGAGAUAACAUAAGAGUGAGUUUGGAGUUCUGAAACACGACCGUAACUGUGACUGUAAUUUUAGACAGCUCAAACAGAGCGAGGAAAUUACAAUGGGCUGCCACAUGCUUCAAAUCUAGAGCUGGUCCUGUGUUCCUCUGUGUAUAACCAGGGCUGAAUCCUUCUUCUGGCUGUUUUCCUUUAAUUUAAUAUUCCUUGCAACAGGACUGUUCCCUCUUAAUGUGCCUAAUAUAAAACACGCUUGUUUGCUGAC